rnacentral:rRNA from 1 species
AACGAACGCUGGCGGUGUGCCUAAUACAUGCAAGUCGUACGCAUUCUCGUUUCUGAUUGUCGGUGCUUGCACCUAAUUGACGAGACAUUGGAAUGAGUGGCGGACGGGUGAGUAACACGUGGGUAACCUGCCCAGAAGUGGGGGAUAACAUUUGGAAACAGAUGCUAAUACCGCAUAAAAGUCAAAACCACAUGGUUUUGAUUUAAAAGAUGGCCUUUGUGCUAUCUCUUCUGGAUGGACCCGCGGCGUAUUAGCUAGUUGGUAAGGUAAUGGCUUACCAAGGCAAUGAUACGUAGCCGAACUGAGAGGUUGAUCGGCCACAAUGGGACUGAGACACGGCCCAUACUCCUACGGGAGGCAGCAGUAGGGAAUCUUCCACAAUGGGCGCAAGCCUGAUGGAGCAACACCGCGUGAGUGAAGAAGGGUUUCGGCUCGUAAAACUCUGUUGUUAAAGAAGAACGUAUCUAAGAGUAACUGCUUAGGUAGUGACGGUAUUUAACCAGAAAGCCACGGCUAACUACGUGCCAGCAGCCGCCGUAA